GUAAAAAUGUUCAUUAGGUCAAUAUCUAUCAGCCCUGAAAUUUUCAGAUGAAUCAAACAAACCAUUGUUGGGUUGCUGCCACUUAAUUGAUAAUUUUAAGGAAAUUUUGCAGUUUUUGGUCAUUAUCUUGAAUAUUAUUAUAGAUAAAGAUAAACUGUAAACAGCAAAAAAGAUCAGCAAAGUAAGAUCUACAAAUAAGUUAAUAUGACC
rnacentral:lncRNA from 1 species